rnacentral:rRNA from 1 species
GAGUUUGAUCCUGGCUCAGGACGAACGCUGGCGGCGCGCCUAACACAUGCAAGUCGAACGGAGCUUGCACUUCUGAAGUUUUCGGAUGGACGAGGUACAAGCUUAGUGGCGAACGGGUGAGUAACACGUGAAGAACCUGCCCUUCAGUGGGGGACAACAGUUGGAAACGACUGCUAAUACCGCAUAAGACCACAGUACCGCAUGGUACAGUGAUCAAAGGAUUUAUUCGCUGAAGGAUGGCUUCGCGUCCGAUUAGGUAGUUGGUGAGGUAACGGCCCACCAAGCCUACGAUCGGUAGCCGGACUGAGAGGUUGAUCGGCCACAUUGGGACUGAGACACGGCCCAGACUCCUACGGGAGGCAGCAGUGGGGAAUAUUGCACAAUGGAGGAAACUCUGAUGCAGCGACGCCGCGUGAGGGAAGAAGGUCUUCGGAUUGUAAACCUCUGUCU